rnacentral:rRNA from 1 species
GACGAACGCUGGCGGCGUGCUUAACACAUGCAAGUCGAGCGGUAAGGCCCUUUCGGGGGUACACGAGCGGCGAACGGGUGAGUAACACGUGGGUGACCUGCCCUCAGCUCUGGGAUAAGCCUGGGAAACUGGGCCUAAUACUGGAUAUGACUCCACGGUGCAUGUCGUGGGGUGGAAAGCCUUGUGCGGCUGAGGAUGGGCCCGCGGCCUAUCAGCUUGUUGGUGGGGUGAUGGCCUACCAAGGCGACGACGGGUAGCCGGCCUGAGAGGGCGACCGGCCACACUGGGACUGAGACACGGCCCAGACUCCUACGGGAGGCAGCAGUGGGGAAUCUUGCGCAAUGGGCGAAAGCCUGACGCAGCGACGCCGCGUGAGGGAUGACGGCCUCGGUG